AAAUUGAAGAGUUUGAUCAUGGCUCAGAUUGAACGCUGGCGGCAGGCCUAACACAUGCAAGUCGAACGGUAGCACAGAGAGCUUGCUCUCGGGUGACGAGUGGCGGACGGGUGAGUAAUGUCUGGGAAACUGCCUGAUGGAGGGGGAUAACUACUGGAAACGGUGGCUAAUACCGCAUAACGUCGCAAGACCAA
rnacentral:rRNA from 4 species